GUUCCUUUUGACAGCACAGGUUAAAACUGACAUGAUGCAGACCAGAUUAGCACAGCUCCUGUGCAAAGACGAUAUGCAAAUUCACGAACCAUUCUACAUUUUG